rfam:Lysinibacillus sp. BF-4 contig00003, whole genome shotgun sequence.
GUGAACUCUUAGCUCGAUAGGUAGAAUGAUAGGGUAACGCCUUGAAAUGCCUACUCUAAUACUCCGACAUGCGUUAUCCGAAUGUGUAAAAGGAUGAGGUGUGAAGCUCGGUGAAGUCGGCUGAAGGUUGUCGUAGUACUAGUUUAUUUAUCUAGUAACCGAAAUUUAACUAGAGGUAGUUGGUGCAACUGAUAGGCCGGGAGUCGUAAAA